AUACAAUGCUUUUAUUUUGAUGCGUUACGGAUAAGUUUACAUAGAGUUAGGUUAUACAGCACAAGCGAGGACAUUAAACAGGGAUAUAUGGAUGCUAUACACCAUGUGCAUUACUUGUCUUUUCCUUGUCUAAAGUAGUAAGAUGAAUCACUGCCACGUCCCUGUCCAGCAUCCUGUCCACUACCUUGUCCUUGUUCUCCCAACCAACCUGCACGCCCACUGCUGCCAUCCUGUCCUUGUUGGUAGUUGUCACCCCCACUGCCGCCGUCCUGUCCCUGCUGUUGGCCACAGCCGCUUUGCUGGCCACUACCCUGAUUCUGUCCUUGUUGGUUGUUGUCACCCCCACUGCCGCGAUCCUGUCCCUGCUGUUGGCCAUAGCCGCUUUGCUGGCCACUACCCUGAUUCUGUCCUUGUUGAUAUCCGCUACCUUGUUGCCCACUACCCUGAUUCUGUCCUUGUUG